CCAGUGCUUUGAUCUCUGCAUUUGGCAGAUUGCUUGUCUUCGUUUUAUUUAGUUUUUUCCUGGAGAUUUUUCCUGUUAUUUAUUUGUGACAUGUUUCUUUGUCUGCUCAUUUUGGCUACCUCCCAUGUUUGUUUCUAUGUAUUAGGAAGAGCGGUUAGGUCUCCUGAUCUUGGUAAAGUGACCUUAAGUACUAGGUGUCCUAUGAGGUCCAGUGGUGCAGUCUUUCUGGUCACCCGACUGGGUGCUCUAGGUGUGUCCUUUGUGUUGUGGUGUGUGCCCUCCUGUUGUAGUUGAGCCCUGAUCGCUGUUGGCAUGUCAGUGAGUGGGAUGGAUCCUCAUUCUGAUUAGUUGUGAGAACGGCCUGUGACGAUCGUGGAGGAGCUGCUAUGCGGGGCCUACGCCUGUGGAGCAGGAUUCACGUGGAAAAAGUAAUUAACUGGAACUCACUGGAAGUCAUGAUUAUUAGGAAAAUGAGAAGGUGUAUGGUGACAUCAGGAGAUGGACGUGAAGGACCACUGGAGUGACAGGUCAGAAGCCUUGGCUUCUCCUGAAGAUAGAACGGUAAGCUGCAAAGGGACACGCUCACACGGAGAAUGACGUCUGUAGGAAGCGUUCCUGGCGAGGCAGCUGUCUUAGCCCAUAGGAGAAGGACAUGAUCUGAUGCUUUCACGGAAUUUACGCUUUAUUGGAAUCAUUGUCAGUGGGGAGAACUCAGAGAGCGGAGGCGUGUGGGUUAGAUACGAAGAGCGAAGCUUUGCGAUGCCAUGGCUCCGACUUCUGCAAGCUCAGCAUUCUUUAACCCAGAACUGGCUGUAUCAUCCUACUCCGGGGCUCGAACAAGGGCUGAGUGUCCGAUCCACU